rnacentral:rRNA from 1 species
UACGAGGGGGGCUAGCGUUGCUCGGAAUCACUGGGCGUAAAGGGCGCGUAGGCGGCGUUUUAAGUCGGGGGUGAAAGCCUGUGGCUCAACCACAGAAUGGCCUUCGAUACUGGGACGCUUGAGUAUGGUAGAGGUUGGUGGAACUGCGAGUGUAGAGGUGAAAUUCGUAGAUAUUCGCAAGAACACCGGUGGCGAAGGCGGCCAACUGGACCAUUACUGACGCUGAGGCGCGAAAGCGUGGGGAGCAAACAGG